GAUGAACGCUAGCUAUAGGCUUAACACAUGCAAGUCGGGGGGCAUCAGGAAGAAAGCUUGCUUUCUUUGCUGGCGACCGGCGCACGGGUGAGUAACACGUAUCCAACCUGCCCUUUACUCGGGGAUAGUCUUUCGAAAGAAAGAUUAAUACCCGAUAGCAUAAUGAUUCCGCAUGGUUUCAUUUAUUAAAGGAUUCCGGUAAAGGAUGGGGAUGCGUUCCAUUAGGUUGUUGGUGAGGUAAUGGCCCACCAAGCCUUCGAUGGAUAGGGGUUCGUGAGAGGAAGGUCCCCCACAUUGGAACUGAGACACGGUCCAA
rnacentral:rRNA from 1 species